rnacentral:rRNA from 1 species
UACAGGGGGGGCAAGCGUUGUUCGGAAUUACUGGGCGUAAAGGGCCAGUAGGCGGCCAACUAAGUCACACGUGAAAUCCCCAGGCUUAACCUGGGAACUGCGUGUGAUACUGGAUGGCUUGAAUUCGGGAGAGGGAUGCAGAAUUCCAGGUGUAGCGGUGAAAUGCGUAGAUAUCUGGAGGAAUACCGGUGGCGAAGGCGGCAUCCUGGACCGACAUUGACGCUGAACGGCGAAAGCUAGGGGAGCAAACGGA